UAUUUAUCAAGAGUGGUGGAGGGAAUUGGCCCUACGAAGCCCUGCAACCUCAUCGUAAAGCGAUAAAGGUGCUAAAUCCAACAGUCUAUAAUGGGCUGAAAGAUAAAAA
rfam:Staphylococcus sp. HGB0015 genomic scaffold aczIz-supercont1.2, whole genome shotgun sequence.